GCGAAAAUGUCUCUUCAUCUCCUACUUCUUCCAGAUUUACUCGUACAACAACCUAUAUAUUUGUCCUUGCCAUUGUGGGAUCACUCUACGUCGCAACAAGGAUGUUUGGGAUCGAUCCCAAGUGUCCUUCCCUUUUCCUCUUGUGGAAUGGACCCAAAAAUGCUGGAAAAAAUGUGCUUGCCAAAGUGGCGAGGGAAUUGGAAAUUUUAGUUUUGGACAGGUUUUAAACCCGAUUCCAUACGCCCCCCCCCCAAAAAAAAAAUCGGAAAAAACCCUACUUUCCCCUCCUAUAUAACAUCUUUUUCUGUUAAUUGUAAGGUGGAGAUUUUUUUAUUUGAUAUUUUUUUAGGCAGAGAACAGGGAGGAAAAAUUUUUGGAAGGAUUUUUUGGGAAAAGGGAUACGAUUUUUCAGGCUUAAAAAAACAAGGUAUAUUAACAACAUUUGAAGAAGCACUCGAUCAGUAAGGUUUAAAACUCAACUCCGCUUGUUUUUUCUGGGUGUCGUCCGUUUCUGCACCUUCGUGAGGUGGGAGUUGACGUUCUUUUGCUCGUCGUCCGUUCACUACGUCACAAAAGGAUCUCUUCACUAGGAAGGUGAAGGAGAUUGGUAGAGAGAAGAAUGGGCUAUAUUUGCUACUAAAUAAAGAUGCAAGAAGAUCUAUCAGUCUAGCUGCUCAAGAGUCAAAGAGUGUGUCAACAGACAAGAUAAAUAUGAAUCUGUGGCACAAAAAAUUAGGACACACAUCUACUUCAAUAUUAAAUAAAUUGUUUGAUAUUGAACUUACUUAUAUUAGAAGUCAAAUAGGGGAUUGUGUAGUAUGUCCUUGUGCAAAGCAAUGUAGAUUACCUUUUAAGAAUAGCAGUAUAAAAAGUAAUAACUGUUUUGAAUUGAUUCACGUUGAUCUCUGGGGUCCUUAUAAAAUCAAUAAAUAUGAUGGAAACAAACAUUUCUUAACAA